rnacentral:rRNA from 1 species
CUACGAAGGGGGCUAGCGUUGUUCGGAUUUACUGGGCGUAAAGCGCACGUAGGCGGAUUGAUCAGUUAGGGGUGAAAUCCCGAGGCUCAACCUCGGAACUGCCUUUAAUACUGUCAGUCUAGAGACCGGAAGAGGUGAGUGGAACUCCUAGUGUAGAGGUGGAAUUCGUAGAUAUUAGGAAGAACACCAGUGGCGAAGGCGGCUCACUGGUCCGGUACUGACGCUGAGGUGCGAAAGCGUGGGGAGCGAACAGGAUUAGAAACCCUAGUAGUCC